UUGUGUUGGUCAAUGAACGUUUCGUUCAUUUGAACUAAUCUUUUUUUAUACUCGAGAGGAACGAGUAGUCUCAGUCAAUAAUUGCUUCAUUUGCAUGCAUGAAUGGUCUUGGACUCUUACGUUCACUUUUCACGCUGCAGCUGCAUGGACUCUGUCAGCACAGGAAACAGAAUUGAUUAGUUUGCGACUUACAACUGUGAGUCGUUCAUUUGUCAAGUGAUAGCUCGGCCUCUUGGCUGUGGAGCAGGAAUGAAGUAUUUAUUCACCUUUCACAUGGGUCCUCACCGUCUUUCGUUCAUUGGGCAGGCGGACUUCCUGCCAGCGCUGGAGAAUGAGCAAGUUGGUUGUCAGACAGUAAUCAGCAAAUGAAGACGAGCGCAAAAUCCACCAGUCUGCGGGAUGAUGUUUGAGAAAACAACUGAGAUCCCUCAGGCAAAAAUGCUUUCUAGUUACCGUUCAGGGGCUGGAGGACCCUUCCCUCAGCCCUCUCUGAAAUCCCCACCUGCAAGAGGUACCAACAUCUUCUCUGCCUACAUACUGCCAAAGACUCCAUGGCUCCUCAUUCCAUCGCAUCUCUCAGCACUGACUCUCUUAUCCUCCUCUAUACUCUGCCAGAAAAGCACCUGAGGGCCUGCACUCCUCCGCAGGUAUUUCUGCUGAAAGCUAUAAUAAAUCAUUUGCCUUUUGUG